ACAAAUGGGUGUAUCUUUUUAUA
rnacentral:piRNA from 1 species